AUGAUGCUUUCUUCAGGGGACUGGCAUGCCGGCUGUACCGUGGACACCGACGACAUCCCGUUAAGUGAUGAAAUGCACUCCUUUUUACAGCAUAAGCUGCCGGAAGUCAAGGCAGAAAAGCUAUCCUGGAGCAACCUUAUUUGGUAUGGCCCCACCCUGAGCAUGGACGACGAUGUUCUUUACAUGAUAUUCAGGCGAAUCAUGUAUCCUGGACACGACGAGGAAUGGCAGGUUGCGGUUGACAUGAAAAAUAGUGCACUCGAAGUCGUCUCUUUUACUGCCGAAGAGAAGCACUUUUGCGACCCGACCUAUCGCCCAAUUGAUUUGUCCAAGAAUCAGCCAAUGUCGAAUCAUCACAAUGUUGAACCCCAGGCGUAA
rnacentral:rRNA from 1 species